rnacentral:lncRNA from 1 species
GCCAGCCCACGCGCCAGUGCGCAGUCACCACGCACGCCACACGCGCCAGUGCGCAGUCACCACGCACGGUGUGCUCACUAGCGCCACGCCGCGCUGGCUCGUUUGUGCAGGCAUGGACACCAAUGAUGGCCGUUGAUGGGAUGCAUCAGCCCAGCCCCUCGCCCAACCACUCGCCAGCGCCAUCCUAUCCUCUACAUCGCAUCCCGCCUGACCAAUCGCUGCGACGAGCCCACGCGCGCCUCUG